GAUUAACGUUGGCGGUGUGCCUAAUACAUGCAAGUCGAGCGCCUGUAGCAAUACAGGAGCGGCAGACGGGUGAGUAACGCGUUGGUAGCUCCUCUGAAGUCAGGGAUAACUUUUAGAAAUAAAAGCUAAUACCGGAUGGUCCCGCAAGGGUAAGUAGCAAUACGCUUCAGAAAGUGCCUGCGUCCUAUCAGCUAGUUGGUGAGGUAAUAGCUUACCAAGGCUUUGACGGGUAACUGAUCUGAGAGGAUGAUCAGUCACAAUGGAACUGAGACACGGUCCAUACUCCUACGGGAGGCAGCAGUAAGGAAUCUUGCGCAAUGGGCGAAAGCCUGACGCAGCGACACCGCGUGGAGGAUGAAUGGCGUAAGCUUGUAAACUCCUUUUCUGAGGGAAUAAUUCUGAAGGUACCUCAGGAAUAAGCAUCGGCUAACUACGUGCCAGCAGCCGCGGUAAAGUGCGCGAGUCUGGGACUGCCAAGG
rnacentral:rRNA from 1 species